rnacentral:rRNA from 1 species
AGAGUUUGAUCAUGGCUCAGGAUGAACGCUAGCGGCAGGCUUAAUACAUGCAAGUCGUGGGGCAGCACAGGUAGCAAUACUGGGUGGCGACCGGCAAACGGGUGCGGAACACGUACGCAACCUUCCUUUAAGCGGGGAAUAGCCCAGGGAAACUUGGAUUAAUACCCCAUAAGACAAUAACCUGGCAUCAGGUAGUUGUU